rnacentral:rRNA from 1 species
UACGUAGGGUGCAAGCGUUAAUCGGAAUUACUGGGCGUAAAGCGUGCGCAGGCGGUUUUGUAAGACAGAGGUGAAAUCCCCGGGCUCAACCUGGGAACUGCCUUUGUGACUGCAAGGCUGGAGUACGGCAGAGGGGGAUGGAAUUCCGCGUGUAGCAGUGAAAUGCGUAGAUAUGCGGAGGAACACCGAUGGCGAAGGCAAUCCCCUGGGCCUGUACUGACGCUCAUGCACGAAAGCGUGGGGAGCAAACAGGAUUAGAAACCCUUGUAGUCC